rnacentral:lncRNA from 1 species
CCUCAAUGUACACUAUUAAGAAAGUGAAAAGAGGCCAGGUGCGGUGGCUCCCACCUAUAAUCCCAGCACUUUGGGAGUCUGAGGUGGGCAGAUCACUUCAAGUCAGGAGUUCAAGAACAUCCUGACCAACAUGGUGAAACCCCGUCUCUACUAAAAAUACAAAAAUUAGUCAGGAGUGGUGGUGCACACCUGUAAUCCCAGCUACUUGGGAGGCUGAGGCAGGAGCAUCACUUGAACCCAAGAGGCGGAGGUUGCCGUGAGCCAAGAUCAUGCCAUCUCACUCCAGCCUGGGUGACAGAGCGAGGCUCUGCCUUGAAAAAAAAAAAGAAAAAAGAAGGAAAAGAAAAGAAAUAAAAAGAAAACAGAAAAAAACUCACAGAAUGAGAAAAUAUUUUCAGAUUAUAUUUGACAAGCGUCUGGUAUCCAAAAUAUAUAAAGGGAUCUCUGGCAAUACAACAAUCAAAAGAUGAAUAAGCCAAGCAAAGAUUUGAACACACAUAUCUACAGCCAACUGAUCUUUGACAAAGUCAACAAAAAUAUACACUGCAGAACGGACACCCUUUUCAACAAAUGGUGCUGAGAAAAUUGGAUUGCCAUAUGCGGAAGAAUGAAACUGGACCCUUAUCUCUCACCAUGUAAAAAUCAAUUCAAAAUAGAUUAAAGACUUGAAUGUAGUACAUGAAACUAUAAAAAUACUACAAGAAAAACUAGGGGAAACUCUUCUAGACAUUGAUCUAGGCAAAGAAUUCAUGACUAAGACCUCAAAAGCACAGGCAACAAAAACAAAAAUAGACAAAUGGGACUUUUAAAAGUUCUGCAUAGCAGGCCAGGCGCAGUGGCUCAUGCCUGUAAUCUCAGCACUUUGGGAGGCCAAGGCGGGUGGAUCACGAGGUCAGGAGUUCAAGACCAGCCUGGCCAAGAUGGUGAAACCCCAUCUCUACUAAAAAUACAAAAAUUAGCCGGGUGUGGUGGCAGGCGCAUGUAAUCCCAGCUACUCGGGAGGCUGAGGAAGGAGAAUCGCUUGAACCCGAGGGGCAGAGGUUGCAGUGAGCCAAAAUCACGCCACUACACUCCAGGCUGGACAACAGAGCGAGACUCCAUCUCAAAAAAAAAAAAAAAAAAAACAGAAAAAAACCUCUGCAUAGCAAAAGAGUGAACAGACAACCUGCAGAAUGGGAGAAAAUAUUUGCAAACUAUACACCCAACAGGGGACUAAUAUCCAGAAUUUUCAAGGAACUCAAACUACUCAACAACCAAACAGACAAUCUCAUCAAAAAGUGGGCUAAGGAUAUGAAUAGUCAUUUUUCAAAAAAAGAAAAGCAAAUGGCCAACAAGAAUAUGAAGAAAGUUCAACAUCACCAAUCAUCACAGAAAUGCAAAUUAAAACCACAGUGAAAUAUCAUCUUACACCAAUCGGAAUGGCUGUUACUGAAAAGACAAAAAAAUAACAGAUGUUGGCUAGGAUAUGGAGAAAAGGAAAUUCUUAUACACUGUUGGUGGGAAUGUUAAUUAGCAUAACCUUUAUGUAAAACAGUAUCUACCCUGUGUGUGUUUGUAUAUACAUAUAUAUAUACAUGUAUGUGCGUAUACAUGUGUGUGUAUAUAUACACACACACAUAUACUAGUAUUCCAUUGUGUGUGUAUAUGUGUAUAUAUAUACAUGCACACAUGCACCCACACACACAAUGGAAUACUAUUCAGCCAUGAAAAGGAAUGAAAUAAUGUAUUUUGCAACAACAUGGAUGGAGCUAGAGGCCAUUAACUCAAAAUAAACGAAUCAGACAGAGAAAGACAAAUGUUGCAUGUUCUCACUUAUAAGUGGGAGCUAAAUAAUAUGUACAUUAUUACACAUUAAUAUGUGUGAAGUAAUAGUCGAUGAAAACUCAGAAGGUCUCCAUUGGGUGGGAGUUGGGAGGGGGUGAAGGAUGAGAAAUUACCUAAUGGGCAAAAUGUAUAUUACUCCAGUGAUGGAUACACUAAAAGACCUGACUUUACCACUAUGUAAUCUAUCUAUGUUUGUAACAAAAUGACACUUGCACUCCAUAAAUUUAGACAAAUAAAUUAAUUAAAA